CCUACGGGAGGCUGCAGUAGGGAAUAUUGCUCAAUGGGGGAAACCCUGAAGCAGCAACGCCGCGUGGAGGAUGAAGGUUUUAGGAUUGUAAACUCCUUUUGUUAGAGAAGAUUAUGACGGUAUCUAACGAAUAAGCACCGGCUAACUCCGUGCCAGCAGCCGCGGUAAUACGGAGGGUGCAAGCGUUACUCGGAAUCACUGGGGGUAAAGAGUGCGUAGGCGGGGUAGUAAGUCAGAUGUGAAAUCCUGUGGCUUAACUACAGAACUGCAUUUGAAACUGUUACUCUGGAGUGUGGGAGAGGUAGGUGGAAUUCUUGGUGUAGGGGUAAAAUCCGUAGAGAUCAAGAGGAAUACUCAUUGCGAAGGCGACCUGCUGGAACGUUACUGACGCUGAUGCACGAAAGCGUGGGGAGCAAACAGGAUUAGAUACCCCUGUAGUC
rnacentral:rRNA from 1 species